GACGAACGCUGGCGGCGUGCUUAACACAUGCAAGUCGAGCGGAAAGGCCACUUCGGUGGUACUCGAGCGGCGAACGGGUGAGUAACACGUGAGUAAUCUGCCCCUCACUUUGGGAUAGCCACCGGAAACGGUGAUUAAUACCGGAUAUGACCAUAUGUCGCAUGGCGUGUGAUGGAAAGUUUUUCGGUGAGGGAUGUGCUCGCGGCCUAUCAGCUUGAUGGUGAGGUAAUGGCUCACCAUGGCUUCGACGGGUAGCCGGCCUGAGAGGGUGACCGGUCACACUGGGACUGAGACACGGCCCAGACUCCUACGGGAGGCAGCAGUGGGGAAUAUUGGACAAUGGGCGGAAGCCUGAUCCAGCAACGCCGCGUGAGGGAUGACGGCCUUCGGGUUGUAAACCUCUUUCAGUACCGACGAAGCGCAAGUGACGGUAGGUACAGAAGAAGCACCGGCCAACUACGUG
rnacentral:rRNA from 1 species